UACGUAGGGGGCGAGCGUUGUCCGGAAUCAUUGGGCGUAAAGCGCGUGUAGGUGGUUAGGUAAGUCGAAUGUGAAAUCCCUCGGCUUAACCGGGGAACUGCGUCUGAUACUGGAUGGCUUGAGGUUGGGAGAGGGAUGCGGAAUUCCAGGUGUAGCGGUGAAAUGCGUAGAUAUCAGGAGGAACACCAAUUGCGAAGGCAGCUCGCUGGGACGCUACUGACGCUGAGACGCGAAAGCGUGGGGAGCAAACAGG
rnacentral:rRNA from 1 species